rnacentral:rRNA from 1 species
UACAGAGGGGGCAAGCGUUGUUCGGAAUUACUGGGCGUAAAGGGCGCGUAGGCGGCCUUCUAAGUCGAACGUGAAAUCCCCAGGCUCAACCUGGGAACUGCGUCCGAUACUGGAUGGCUUGAAUUCGGGAGAGGGAUGCAGAAUUCCAGGUGUCAGCGGUGAAAUGCGUAGAUAUCUGGAGGAAUACCGGUGGCGAAGGCGGCAUCCUGGACCGACAUUGACGCUGAUGAGCGAAAGCUAGGGGAGCAAACGGG